AGGAUAAAAGUUUAAAACAAUUGAAUUGCAUUCAAUAAAUAUUAAUAUAAAUUAAUUUAUCUUA
rnacentral:tRNA from 2 species